rnacentral:rRNA from 1 species
CCGGGUUGGACGUACCUCCGGUGCAUCGGUUGUUCUGCCAAGGGCAUAGCCGGGUAGCCGCGUACGGAGUUGAUAAACGCUGAAGGCAUCUAAGCGUGAAGCACACCUCAAGAUGAGAUAUCCCAUCAUUUUAAAUGAGUAAGGUCACUUGUAGACUACGAGUUUGAUAGGUCGAGGGUGGAAGUGCAGUAAUGCAUGCAGCUGAUCGAUACUAAUAGACCGAGGGCUUGAACUG